rnacentral:rRNA from 1 species
ACGGGAGGCAGCAGUGGGGAAUUUUGCGCAAUGGGGGAAACCCUGACGCAGCAACGCCGCGUGCGGGAUGAAGGCCUUCGGGUUGUAAACCGCUUUCAGCAGGGACGAUGAUGACGGUACCUGCAGAAGAAGCUCCGGCUAACUACGUGCCAGCAGCCGCGGUAAUACGUAGGGAGCGAGCGUUAUCCGGAUUCAUUGGGCGUAAAGCGCGCGUAGGCGGGCGACCAAGCGGGACCUCUAAUCCCGGGGCUCAACCCCGGGCCGGGUCCCGAACUGGCCGCCUCGAGUUCGGUAGAGGAAGACGGAAUUCCCAGUGUAGCGGUGAAAUGCGCAGAUAUUGGGAAGAACACCGAUGGCGAAGGCAGUCUUCUGGGCCGCAACUGACGCUGAGGUGCGAAAGCUAGGGGAGCGAACAGGAUUAGAUACCCUGGUA